GCCCGGUUAGCUCAUUCGUUAGAGCACGGUACUCUUAAUCCUGGGUCGCGGGUUUGAUCCCCAUGCUUGGCG